UACGUAGGGUGCGAGCGUUGUCCGGAAUUACUGGGCGUAAAGAGCUCGUAGGCGGUCUGUCACGUCGGCUGUGAAAACCCGAGGCUCAACCUCGGGCCUGCAGUCGAUACGGGCAGACUAGAGUUCGGUAGGGGAGACUGGAAUUCCUGGUGUAGCGGUGAAAUGCGCAGAUAUCAGGAGGAACACCGGUGGCGAAGGCGGGUCUCUGGGCCGAAACUGACGCUGAGGAGCGAAAGCGUGGGGAGCGAACAGG
rnacentral:rRNA from 1 species